UUCUAGAUGAGUAAGGACAUUUUAAAAGAUGAAAAUUAAUGUGCUGAAGUCUGAGGCAAAACAUAAGGGGUAAGGAUAGCCCAUAACAUUUUGAGAAAGGACAAGGUCAGCCAUGUGAAUUAACAAGGUAGAGAUUUAUGAUGAAGCAUUAAACUUGGCAGGCAAAUAGACUACCUGGAAUCUAUGAUGGUCAAAGGCAGCAGUACUAGGGACUGAUUCAAGACUGAAGGUCUAGUAACUGAAUUAUUGAAUCUAAAUCAAUUCUGAAAAUACCAACGUUGUCAUACUGUGAAAUUACUUUUCUAAAGUUAUUGGAGGCAAGUUUCUCUCUGCUCUGUUAAAGUUUAAACAUAGCUUUCAGAAAAAGAAAAUGAAGAAUAUAUCCUGAGUUUAAUCCCUUACCUAAGACCUAGCUGGUAAUCAUAAUUCUAGGUGGUUAAGGACCAUUGAUACUAAACAUAAAUAAUUUACAUUAUAAUCUUAAAAAAUAUUCCAGGGUUAUUAAAGACAAACUGGACUUGAAUAUAUUCAGUUGAAAAUGUGAUUUAGCUAACAAUAAAAUUAGUAAAACAGAAUCAAUAGUAGAAUAUUCAAUAUUCAUAUAUUAGGAUAGAAAAAUACAAAGAUUCAUAAAUGUGUUUCAGUUUGAAGACAGAAAGUGAGCUGUCACACUCCACAGUACCAGCACCCUUCAUAUAUAUUGGAAACCGUCUUGAGUGAUUAAUUUCAAGCACCUUGGAUCAGCGAGAUGCCACAGAAGAAUCAGAUUCAAAAUAAGACAUUAACUGCGAAAUCCAAAAUGGCUGCGCUUACCCUAUUGAUAAAAACAGGUGAGUCUCCAAAAGAUAUAAUCAAUCUUCACAUUUAUUUUAAGUAGUAAAUAAUAUAAAUAAGUAUUGUUAUUCUGAGUGGCAAUUUAAUGCAUGUAUUCGAUUAACAAUUAUAACUUCUGUACAUCCUAAAUGCUUAUGUAGCUUUGUACUUUUUUCUUUUUUUUUUUUUUUUUGCGUGGGGUUAGUUCUCCAUUACAUAAAAAGAGAAUGAAUCAACAUUUUAUUGUGGAACCUGGGAAUCAAAUUUUAAGACUAGAAGGAGGAGAACUUCCUA
rnacentral:lncRNA from 1 species